rfam:Schistosoma mattheei strain Denwood, Zambia genome assembly, scaffold: SMTD_contig0000571
GUUCAGUUGACGAGUCCCAAAAUAGGACGAAAUGCACGUUCUGGAU